rnacentral:rRNA from 1 species
UGAUCCUGGCUCAGGAUGAACGCUGGCGGUAUGCUUAAUACAUGCAAGUCGUACGAGAGCUUUUAGCUCUAGUGGCGGACGGGUGAGUAACACGUGAGAAUCUGCCCUUAGGAGGAGGAUAACAGCUGGAAACGGUUGCUAAUACUCCAUACGCCGAGAGGUGAAAGGAUUUAUCUGCCUAAGGAGGAGCUCGCGUCUGAUUAGCUAGUUGGUAAGGUAAAGGCUUACCAAGGCGACGAUCAGUAGCUGGUUUGAGAGGAUGAUCAGCCACACUGGGACUGAGACACGGCCCAGACUCCUACGGGAGGCAGCAGUGGGGAAUCUUAGACAAUGGGCGCAAGCCUGAUCUAGCCAUGCCGCGUGUGUGAUGAAGGUCUUAGGAUCGUAAAGCACUUUCGCCAGGGAUGAUAAUGACAGUACCUGGAGAAUAAGCUCCGGCUAACUCCGUGCCAGCAGCCGCGGUAAUACGGAGG